rnacentral:misc_RNA from 1 species
AAGUCGUAACAAGGUUUCCGUAGGUGAACCUGCGGAAGGAUCAUUACCAUAUCCAAAACUUUACCAACCCACCGUGUGAACUGUUUGUGUGCUGCGGUCUUUUUCGCAAGGAAAAGCCCGGCAUCCAUUUUUCCAUGUUUCUCCACUUUACGUGGAGAAGCAUGGAACCAUAUGUAAACACUUUUUAAACCGACUAAUUGAAAACCUGAUGUCGUUUUUCUUCUUCGGGAGAAGAACCAUUGAAAAAAACCAAUAGACAACUUACAACGGUGGAUCUCUUGGCUCGU